GAUAAACGCUGGCGGUAGGCUUUACACAUGCAAGUCGAGCGGUAUCUUCGGACACAGCGGCAAACGAGUGAGUAACACGUAUGUACUUCCCCCUAGUUUGGCAUAGCUAGUCGAAAGAUUAGGUAAUUCCAAAUGUGAUCGCAAGAUUAAAGGUUUUUCGCUAGGGAUAAGGCAUGCGGACCAUCAGGUAGUUGGCGGGGUAAAAGCCCACCAAGCCUAAGACGGUUAGCUGGUCUGAGAGGACGAUCAGCCACGUUGGGACUGCGACACGGCCCAGACACCUACGGGUGGCAGCAGUGGGGAAUUUUCGGCAAUGGCGAAAGCCUGACCGAGCCAUACCGCGUGUAGGACGAAGAUCCAUGGAUCGUAAACUACUGUGGAGUUUAAUUAAUACAUGAAAUAUACUCUAGAAAGGGGUUGCUAACUCUGUGCCAGCAGCAGCGGUGAUACAGAGACCCCAAGCGUUAUCCGGUUUCAUUGGGCGUAAAGCGUUCCGAAGGUUGUUUAGUAUGUUCAAAGUGAAAGACCGUAGCUCAACUACGUGUUUGCUUUGAAAACUGCUAAACUAGAGGGGCAAAGGGGUGGUUGGAACUAUGCAAGUACCGGUGAAAUGGGUUGAUAUGCAUGGGAACUCCUAAAGCGAAGGCAGACCACUGGGUGCCUCCUGACACUGCUAGGACGAAAGCGUGGGUAGCGAAUGAGAUUAGAUACCUCAGUAGUCCACGCCGUAAACGAUGAGUGCUUGUUUUUAGAGCAAGUUAAUCUGCUUUGGAGACAAAAGCUAACGCUAUAAGCACUCCGCCUGUAUAGUACGGCCGCAAGGCUAAAACACAAAGGAAUUGACGGGAACCCGCACAAGUGGUGGAUCAUGUGGCUUAAUUCGUAUGUAAGCGAGGAACCUCACCUAGGUUUGACAUGCAACUGCUAACUCUAUGAAAAUAGAGCUCUUUCGAAGGUGUUGCACAGGUGAUGCACGGUCGUCGUCAGCUCGUGUCGUGAGAUGUCCGGUUAAGUCCGGUAACGAGCGAAACCCCAAUCUCUAGUUAUUUAAUGUCUAGAGAGACUGACAGAGUUUAAUCUGUAGGAAGGUUGGGAUGAUGUCAGAUCAGCGUGUCCCUUAUGCCUAGGGCUGCACACAUGAUACAAUGGGAAUGGUACAACGGGACAGCAAUAUAGCGAUAUGGAGCAAAUCCUUCAAAACCACCCUCAGUACAGAUCGGAGUCUGAAACUCGACUCCGUGAAGAUGGAAUCACUAGUAAUCGCGAAUCAGCCUCGUCGCGGUGAAUGCGUUCUCGGGUUUUGUACACACUGCCCGUCAAGGUCUGGGAAUUGGGAGGGCCCCAAAACUUCAUGUAUUUGGAGUGGAAGGCUAAACCAGUGACUGGAUUU
rnacentral:rRNA from 1 species